CUUGGUAUCAGUCUCCCUGAUUAAACCUCUUAGAAUUGAUGCAUUCUCAUGAAUGCUUAACAAAUAUCACUUAAAAACUAAUUAUUAUAGUUAAAUCAUAUCAGAUCCCUGGUUUUUCAUCUGCAGUGAAAAAAGAGGUGUACAUAGGUUGCAAGAUGUUGCAAGAUGCAGAAUUCCCUUAAAGUAGCUUAUAUGAAAAAAAUUAGAGUUACAGGGUCUCUGAUGAAGUCCAAGUUCUGCGGAUCCAUUGAGUUUCAGGCAAGAAUUGCCCCUUAGGAGUGAUCUGUAGUCAAUAGUUUCUUGUCCCAGUUCCUCUCUGCUUCUCUUUGCUCAGCUGCUUUGUUUUUGUUUCCUCACAGCCUUUCUCUUCUCUAGACUCCAAAACACAGCCAAGCUCACAGGGGAACAUCUCCCCCUGCAGCCAACCACACUGAACCUGGAGUCCACAUGUGAAGGAGAACAGGGCCUCGGGCUGAGCAUCUCUUGUAGGACAGCAGGAGAUUCUCUGGUUCUUAACACCUCAUGUCAGGAGGCCCAGUAGCCCCCCUACCCAGGUAUGUACAGAUAUGAAAACGCGCUGGCAAUGUCUAGAGGAGACAGCAGACAAUUACUUUUGAUAUGCAUGGAAAAGAAGAGACACAGACUCUUUCUAUAGUUGUGGAAAUUCGGACAAUAUAAGGAGAUGACAUGUCCACCGCACAGGAAGCUGAGGUGAAGACCCAGGCCUCCCAAGGCCCUGCAUUCACACCAUCCACUCCAGGCCUGGCUUCUAUGGGCUUCCAUGCGCUGGCUUUGGGUGCUUCAAUCCCCCACCUCCGGGAUGGGUUAGGUGUGCUCCUAUGUGAUACCAUCGCCCCACGCUUCUGUCUUUGUACACACUCGCCAUGUCCUAUGUUAAUGGUUAAUAGCUCAUCUCGCCUUUUAGACUGUGAGCUCCUGGAGGCAAAGAAAAUAUCUUUUCUCUUAACUCAUUUCAUGGCACAUAAAAGGGGCUCACUACAUUUUUGUAAAUGAAGGAAUGAAUAAACGAAGCAAAAUCUGCCUAUCUAGGUGAUUUUAGCUGAGUUUCACUGAAUUAUAAUUAUGUCAGUUAAUUCAUCCAUCACUCAUCAACACUUUAGGGACUGGCCUUGUGUCGAUGACUGGGUAGGUGUGGGUAACACAAAGACAGUAAGAUCUAGUAACCGCUUCCAAAGUUUUGACAUCUAGAGGUCAGCAUGAGCAAUCAGUACCACAAGACGUCAGGGGAAACACGCUAUAACAGAGGUAUAUGUACGGUAGAAUAUGGGAGGAUAGAGAACUCUCAGAAUUGGGGGCUUUGGGACAAUUUUCCAGGAGAAAAUGAAAUGUGAAUGGGAGCUUAAGAAGCAAGUGUUAACUAGGCAGAAAAGAGAGGAGAUUGUUUUAGAGCAAAGAGUCACAAACCAGAACAGGAUAUCGUUGAAUCUGAGACAUGAAGCAUGGCUAUAAAGCAGGUGUGUGCAGAGAAGCAGGACAAGCAGGGGCUGGGGAGCUGUAAGCAUGUAGUUCAUGGGGCCAUGUGCCUCCCAGGAGGGCUUGACUCUGCAGCUAAUGGGAAACCUCUAGUUCUUCCAUGCGUGUAUUUCAGACUCUGAAAUUAACACAUGCUUACUAUGAACAUUUAGAAAAUAUAAGUAGUAGAAACAGAGGAAGAAACAUGAAUUGU
rnacentral:lncRNA from 1 species